GUGGAAACCCUGUUGGUACAAUUCUUAAGCAUCUGGGGAUGCAUCGACGAGUCAAGAACUUGUCACUCGUCCCUGGAAGAUACUCGUACGCUCCGCCCCGUCACCUAGAUGCACAGUAUCUAAUUACACGCCUAGACUAGUUAAGCCAGUAAUCUUGCCAAUAGCCCUGAAUAAUCCAAGCUGCGGUCGCUUAGAUCCCGAUAAAAUGUGGUCCCCACUCAGGUAAGCCGGUAUUCACGCGGCGACUUGCACCGGUGUAACCCUGCCGGUUCUUCCGAUGGGGUAUACAUCCCACCACAACGGGUGUUUCCGUGCACUAGGGGUGCCGGGGGACACCAGUCUCCCUGCAGAUACCAGUGUAGUCGCAGGGGGCACCUAGUAGGGGGGGGGGGGGGGGGUGCUCCUACGCCUUAUCAAAAAAGAAGAAAGUCCACACCCGAAACGUGCUGCUUUUUGUUGUUUUUCGCACGGCUGCAACUUAAAUGAUAUUGGCGGGGGAGCACCACAACGGGUGGAGCCUGCGGUUUAAAAGGCAUAAAAAGCCGGGCAGCUCACCGGAUAGGACAGCGGAAUGAUAGCCGGGCUGAAGACCUUGCUUGACCAGCUGAGAGGAGGUGCAUGGCCGUCGUCAGUUCGUACUGUGAAGCAACCUGUUUAGUCAGGCAACGAGCGAGACCCAUAAUGUAACCCGGGCCCGGAAUGGACAGAGGUCACAACAUGCGAAUAUAAUAGUGAGUCUAUAGAGCUGGAGCACC
rnacentral:rRNA from 1 species